UCCGACACAAACCAAACGAGCCUGUCGGUUUCAAAACCACCAAGUCCAAGCCAGGUCCCUCCCUUGCCUUCAGUGUCCCAGUUACUUGCUAAGCGUGUUUGCUGGGCGGCUGCACCGACACCAAGUUUAAAGUCCGCAGCCCGGGAGCGCGAGGAGUCGUCGGGGAGACGCGGGGUGCACCCCGGCGCUCCCGUGCCCCGGACCCGGCUUCGGGGUCACCUCGAGCCCCCCACCCCUGCAAGCCCUUCUCGCGCUCCCACCCAGACCCAGGUAACCCGAGGCCACCUACGUGUCACUUGGGCGGGUCCGGGCCGCGGACGCGGCACAAAGCGCGGGCCCCGGGGCGCACCGACCUGGCCGGGGAGGGGGACGGAAGGGCCGGCGGCCCGGGCGGCUGCGGCAACUUCCCUCCCGGGGCGCGGGCGACUGGCUGGUGGCGGAGGCCGGGAGAGCCUCGCCUCCUGCAGGCCGGCUCGCGGCGCGCACGCCCACCCACAGCCGACACCGGCGAGCGCGCGCGCGCGCACACUUGCACCCGCUCGCACACUCGCACGCGCAGCCACAAAGCCUGUCUGCCCCGGGACGGCGCGAGCCGAGCGCGCCGAGCGGCUGCGCAGGCGACGCGGCGGCCCCUGGCCCCGCGCCCAGGGGGCGCCGUCCCCCGCCCCCCGCGCCCCGCGCCCGCCCCGCCCCGCGCCCGCCCCUUUACCUGCGCCCGCCGCUGCCCCCCCGCCCCCCGGGCUGGCCUCCCGCCGCGCGGUCUCUCCCCGCGGCCGGCGCCCGGCCCUCCGCCCGCCCCCUCGACGGCCGCCCCCUGCGCCCCCACCCCGCCCCCGGGAAGCCGGAGCCGCGCUCCGCCGCCGACGCGGGAGACGCAGCCCGGGCAGCGCCGGCCGCCGCUCGGGCCGCCAGUCCGCGCUUUGGCGCGCUGGCCGGGGCGGCGGGGUGGCCCGGAGCCGGCGCGGCCGCCAGCCUCCGUCCUACCCCCCUCCUUCUCGGCCCGCACCGCUGCUCCCUCCCCCUGGCUCGUUCCGUCGCGGGGUGCGACGCCCCCCGGAGCCCCCCGCAGCCCGCGCGCGCCCCCCGCGGCGGGAGACCCGCGGGCUCGGAUGCUCAGCCCCCCCCCCCCCCCGCGCUCACCUAGCGCCCGCCGGCUCGCCGCGCUGGGUGGGCUCCCCCAGACGGUGCCUUUUCCUUCUGUCGCUCUGCUCUUCCCACUCGGAGAGCUCGGGGAAGCAUCGCGGGCCCGCACCCCCUGCAGGAGGGCCUCUCCCGCAGUCAGCGGCCAAGCUCGGCGCGGACCCCGGCUUCCCCCCGCACGGCCCGAGCUGGAGGUGCUCGCGCGUCCGCGUCUGCAGCCCGAAGCCGGCGCUGCCGCGCGCCCCCAGCUCCCCAGGCGCAGGGCUGCAGCCGCUCUUCCGCUUUCCCAGGGCAACUCUGCAAGUGCCAACUCUCGGCGUCCGGAGGGUAAUCAAGGGCGGGGAAUGCACACCUGGAGGUGUGGGCGGGCGCGGCGCCGCGGGACCCCGGGAAGGUGGCCGCCGCCGAGGUUCGCGCGGGCCCUGCACGGCCGCCGGUCGGUCGGGGGCUUUCCGGCCGCGCCACCUCUCCCCCACCUCCCGCUUCCCACCCCCGGCUUCCCAGGAUUUCCGGACUCGGGGCACUUCUCUGCCGCUCGCUGCGCUGCCAAAGCCGCCACGCAUCCCAGGCAGCUGCCGGGCAGGAGGGGAAGCUGGGCGAGCCCUUGCCGGGGGCACCCGGGAGGCCCGGGGAGCGGUGCGGCAGGGGGACCCGCGACCCGGGCGGGGGGGACCGCCCCGGGGUUGGGGGGCGGGGGGCACGCGGCGAUCCUGGGCUGCUCGGAAGGGAGAGGUCCCUUUAAACCGCAGUGGGCGGGGAGGGGAAGACUUCUUGUAA
rnacentral:lncRNA from 1 species